UGCUGCUGGUGCUUUUAAGUACAAAGCAUUUAUUGAAUAAAUACGACUGGAAAGGCAUUUCCAAUCAGAUUGUUCAGGACGAAGACGUCAGAAUAAAGAGUAAAUAUUACCUACUACAAAGAGAAUAGUAGCAAGAUUAGGCAUCCACUUUGGACACAAAAUCAGUUUCAAAAUAUGGAAUUGUUAGAAGACUAAAAGACAGUGGAGGUAUUUUGGAAGCCACUGGGAUCUCUAAAGUGUGUCUGGCUAAUCGGAGAAAAGUUGCAGGGAAGCAGGAGCAGCAGAUGGAAAGACAGUUGGCUUAACCUACUGCCCAUACUACACUGUUGCCAAAACCCUUGAAAGGAUGCUGAGAUCAUCUACGACAAACAACUGCCUGAUGAAAGAAGUCUCUCCUCAAUUUCCCCUUUUUCCAGAGUUUCACGUUCUAUAUGUCCAGUGCCAAGAAAAUCAGUUACCACCAACAGAAACACUCAUGACAUUGUCUAACAGUUUUAUAUUGUUUGGAAGUUCUGUAUUUCAAAUGAGUUUACAACUAUAUCUUUCCAUCAUUUUUUGCACCUGCAGUUAACAAACUUCUCUCCAUUCAUUUCCUUGAAAUGCAACAAAGUAAGGAAGAUGGCUCAGCAGAAUAUUGCUGAAGUCAUCCAGUUUAGAUGUUUUUGUCUCUUUUUCCUUCAGAAUUUAGCUGCUAUUAUGUAUUAUCUUCAUUACUAAAGGUACAUGUAUUCUUUUGAAGGCUGACUUGUUCAACUCAAAAACAGUAGUUAGCAUAUUUUCUUCCCUGGGCAUGAAUACUUAAUUUUAUAACUGUAUUAGAAAAAAGAACUUUAAAUUUAGCUAUUACACUAAAUGCACCUUGAACACUUGAUUUAAUGUUUACAGUAGUUAUAAAAGAACACACGCAUAUGUAAUUUGACUAUGAACCAUGAAGAAAAUGUGUACUCACAAAAUAUGUAUUUUUUCUUUUGUUCUUACAAAUAUUUAAAUUUAGAAUAAAAUAAUCUUUGUUUUGACAAAGUAUCAUACUUGUGAUAUUUAAUAAAAUAGAAUAAAUAAUAUGAUUAAUUGACAGAUAAAUUGUAUUGAGGAUUUUAAACUAUAGUUUUAUUCUUCAAUAAUAAGCCAAUGAGUAUUAUUAAAUAAUUCAGAAAGCAAUUUCUUACAACUAACAAUGAAGUGUAUAUUAUUCAAAAUGAGCUCUCAUCAUGGGAAAGAAUGGACAAUUGACUCUGAACUGAUGUGAACUUUCAGACUCAGUAUUUUAUGGCAAAUUCAGUUAUCCCCAAAAGAGUAUAUGAUCUCAUUUCACAUACAGUGAGACUUCAGGAUUAAUGUCACAUGUAAUUUAUCUAAUUUUAGCACAAUAAUGUCUUGGAAUUUAAUUAAUAAAAAUUCUUGGGAAUAGCUUGCAAAAAAAUUGGCUUCAAUGAAUGAACCCCAUAAAACCAAAUUGGGUUGGAAGAUGGUUAGACAAAUUGUAACUGUAAAGCUCAUUAUUUCAAUAGUUCCAUAUGUCUCUGUAACAUGAAUGCUUUAAAAUUUUACAAAACUAUUAAAUCUGAUUACAUAUAUCAAGAGUUAUCAUUUUUAAACUGACUUUUCAACAGG